rnacentral:rRNA from 1 species
UACGUAGGUGGCAAGCGUUGUCCGGAAUUAUUGGGCGUAAAGCGCGCGCAGGCGGUCCUUUAAGUCUGAUGUGAAAGCCCACGGCUCAACCGUGGAGGGUCAUUGGAAACUGGGGGACUUGAGUACAGAAGAGAAGAGUGGAAUUCCACGUGUAGCGGUGAAAUGCGUAGAGAUGUGGAGGAACACCAGUGGCGAAGGCGGCUCACUGGGACGAUACUGACGCUGAGACGCGAAAGCGUGGGGAGCAAACAGG